rnacentral:rRNA from 1 species
ACGGAAGGCAGCAGUGAGGAAUAUUGGUCAAUGGGCGGAAGCCUGAACCAGCCAAGUCGCGUGAAGGAUGAAGGUAUUAUGUAUUGUAAACUUCUUUAGACGUAGAGAAAUAAGGGGGUCGAGACCUCUGAUGCUAGUAUACGUAGAAUAAGGAUCGGCUAACUCCGUGCCAGCAGCCGCGGUAAUACGGAGGAUCCGAGCGUUAUCCGGAUUUAUUGGGUUUAAAGGGUGCGCAGGCGGUCUUUUAAGUCAGUGGUUAAAUCGUGGAGCUUAACUCCAUCCCGCCAUUGAUACUGGAGGACUUGGUUGCGGUUGAGGUUGGCGGAAUUCGCCGUGUAGCGGUGAAAUGCAUAGAUAUGGCGAAGAACUCCGAUUGCGUAGGCAGCUGACCAAGCCGUAAAUGACGCUCAUGCACGAAAGUGCGGGGAUCGAACAGGAUUAGAUACCCUGGUA